CCUACGGGAGGCAGCAGUGGGGAAUAUUGCACAAUGGGGGAAACCCUGAUGCAGCGACGCCGCGUGAGUGAAGCAGCGUUUCGGCGCGUAAAGCCCUGUCAGCGGGGAAGAAACACGGUUCGCGAGAGCCGCGGACGGUACCCGACCAAGAAGCCCCGGCUAACUACGUGCCAGCAGCCGCGGUAAUACGUAGGGGGCAAGCGUUAUCCGGAUUCACUGGGGGUAAAGGGAGCCUAGACGGCGAGACAAGUCUGGAGUGAAAGGCCGGGGCCCAACCCCGGGACUGCUCUGGACACUGGCUGGCUUGAGUACAUGAGAGGUAAGUGGAAUUCGUGGUGUAGCGGUGAAAUGCGUAGAUAUUAGGAGGAACACCAGUGGCGAAGGCGGCUUACUGGACUGUAACUGACGUUGAGGCUCGAAAGCGUGGGGAGCAAACAGGAUUAGAUACCCCUGUAGUC
rnacentral:rRNA from 1 species